CUGCCCCAUACCUUUCCAAGCUUUGCAAGGUCAGCAGAAAUGGUAUCCCAUGCAACACUGCCAUCAGUCCAUUUCUUUUCAUGAAUGGUGACUCCUGCCGCCCCAUUCGCAGAUGUUGCUUUCUCUGGGGCCGAACCAUCUUCAGGUGAGCUAGCUUUCGUUUUCUCAUUGCUAGAAGAAUUUUCAUCAUUGGAUUUCUGACUAUGUACAUCACUUAAACGUCUUGAAAUGGCCGCCUGAAGAGAAAAUAAUCAUGUCAAAAAUCCAGAAAUGAACUAGACUCAGAAUUGCACAUAUAACUCAGAUUCUAUUAUAUAAAAUUGCGUUCUUAAAAGCCCACCGUGGGAUAUUAUCAGUUGAAAUGAGAACAACAAAAUUCUCCCAAACUUAAAUUGCAUAUCAACUUCAAAUAAGCCCCAAAUUUGUUAUUCUUUUUGGGAUUUGGUGAUUUAUUACUCAAAGCUAGCAAAUUAAGAAAAAUUAUUUACCUGAGUCCGCAAGAUUGCUUGCAGAUCCGGCUUGGACUUGACAGAAGCUUUCUCCUUGUGUUCCCCUGAAUCUUUCUCCAGCUGGUCAUCCCAGCCUUUCCUACUACUCUUUGCCGAUCCCACCAGAGCUUCGGACACCUUCGAAAUCCCAGCAACAAUCGUUGCCAUCUUC
rnacentral:lncRNA from 1 species